rnacentral:lncRNA from 1 species
CACGAGUGAGAUCAUGCGGUGUCAGCCUUUCUGGGCCUGACUCUCUUCACUUAGCAUAAUGUCCUCCUGUUCCAGCUGUAUGGCCGCAAAUGACAGGAUGUUAGAAAUCUAGAAUUUUCAAAAGUUCCCAGGACAGCAAAUAGAACAACCAUUGCCAGUUGCCCUUUCCUUUGCCUCUCAGAGUCUUGCUUUCCUUAGCUGCAAGACGGGGGUAUGGUGGCGCAAGCCUGUUACCCCAGCACUUGACAGGCUGAGGCAGUAGGAUUGCCAGAACUUCAGGGUUAGCCUCGGGUACAUAGUAAGACUUUGCCUCCCCACCAAAAUCGAACAACAUCACCACCAACAAAAACAGAACCAAGUUGGGGUGACUAUGGACCGUAACGGUUACAGCAAGAGUGGGCAAACUCCACUGAGUGGCCUGGGCUCCUGUCCAGGGAUGGUUUCUAUAGCGUCUGAAGUUUGUCUGCUGCGGCAAGGAAGAGGAAGAUGUUUUCGAACAACUUUGAAUAUCUCACAGCCAUGCAGGUUCGUUUGACGUGAGUUUGCCAGGG